GACCAGGAGUGUGGACACUCUAAGGUCAUCUUGUUCAACAAUCUCUUUUGGAUCCCUACCUCACACAUGCUACCUACCCUCAAGUAAUCCAUCAAGAGCAAAGAAGUUUGGCUCAUCUUCCUGCGUUUUCUGAAACCUCUUAAGUGGGAAAAGAAUAAUGUGGCAACUACAGAUGGAGUGAGUUGAAGUUUUGAAUGUUCAGAGAUGGAAGAGGCCAUCCAUCCUGAUCUGCUUUUGCAGGUCCAACUGUAGACACUGAAC